rnacentral:misc_RNA from 1 species
GAUGAAGAACGCAGUGAAAUGCGAUAAGUAAUGUGAAUUGCAGAAUUCAGUGAAUCAUCGAAUCUUUGAACGCACAUUGCGCCCCCUGGUAUUCCGGGGGGCAUGCCUGUUCGAGCGUCAUUUCACCACUCAAGCCUCGCUUGGUAUUGGGCAACGCGGUCCGCCGCGUGCCUCAAAUCGACCGGCUGGGUCUUCUGUCCCCUAAGCGUUGUGGAAACUAUUCGCUAAAGGGUGUUCGGGAGGCUACGCCGUAAAACAACCCCAUUUCUAAGGUUGACCUCGGAUCAGGUAGGGAUACCCGCUGAACUUAAGCAUAUCAAUAAGCGGAGA